UACCAGACUCCUACGGGAGGCAGCAGUGAGGAAUAUUGGUCAAUGGACGCAAGUCUGAACCAGCCAUGCCGCGUGCAGGAAGACGGCUCUAUGAGUUGUAAACUGCUUUUGUACGAGGGUAAACGCAGAUACGUGUAUCUGUCUGAAAGUAUCGUACGAAUAAGGAUCGGCUAACUCCGUGCCAGCAGCCGCGGUAAUACGGAGGAUUCAAGCGUUAUCCGGAUUUAUUGGGUUUAAAGGGUGCGUAGGCGGUCGGAUAAGUUAGAGGUGAAAUCCCGAGGCUCAACUUCGGAAUUGCCUCUGAUACUGUUCGGCUAGAGAGUAGUUGCGGUAGGCGGAAUGUAUGGUGUAGCGGUGAAAUGCUUAGAGAUCAUACAGAACACCGAUUGCGAAGGCAGCUUGCUAGGCCGGAUCUGACACUGAUGCACGAAAGCGUGGGGAUCGAACAGGAUUAGAUACCCGGGUAAU
rnacentral:rRNA from 1 species